UGGGGAAUUUUGGACAAUGGGCGCAAGCCUGAUCCAGCAAUGCCGCGUGAGUGAAGAAGGCCUUCGGGUUGUAAAGCUCUUUUGUCAGGGAAGAAACGGGUCUUUCUAAUACAGAGAUCUAAUGACGGUACCUGAAGAAUAAGCACCGGCUAACUACGUGCCAGCAGCCGCGGUAAUACGUAGGGUGCAAGCGUUAAUCGGAAUUACUGGGCGUAAAGCGUGCGCAGGCGGUUUUGUAAGUUUGUCGUGAAAUCCCCGGGCUCAACCUGGGAAUGGCGAUGAAGACUGCAAGGCUAGAGUUUGGCAGAGGGGGGUAGAAUUCCACGUGUAGCAGUGAAAUGCGUAGAUAUGUGGAGGAACACCGAUGGCGAAGGCAGCCCCCUGGGUCAAAACUGACGCUCAUGCACGAAAGCGUGGGGAGCAAACAG
rnacentral:rRNA from 1 species